ACGGGGACCACCGGACAACUAACCCGGGACCUUCUUGCUGUGGGGCCACCGUGCUGCCUUAACAAUAAACGGAGGCAACACUUUUGAAAUGGCUCAACUGUUGAGGCGUGACCCCAGGACAAUCAAACGUUUUGUUGCUAAUAGUUGUGGCACCAAAAGGGCACGGAGAAGAAAGGGUGCAUUCAGCUUUAUACAAAUAAAAAUGCUUUAUACAUAAAAAA